rnacentral:rRNA from 1 species
GAUGAACGCUGGCGGCGUGCCUAAUACAUGCAAGUCGAGCGAACAGACGCGGAGUUUGCUCCUUAGUCGUUAGCGGCGGACGGGUGAGUAACACGUGGAUAACCUACCUAUAAGACUGGGAUACCUUCGGGAAUCCGGAGCUAAUACGGGAUAAUAUCUUGAACCGCAUGGUUCAAUAGUGAAUGUUGGUUUUGGUGUCAGUUAUCGACGUAUCCGCGCCGCAUUAGCUAGUUGGCAAGGUAACGGCUUACCAAGGCAACGAGGCGUAGCCGACCUGAGAGGGUGAGCGGCCACAAGAGAACGGAGGCACGGUCCAGACUCCUACGGGAGGCAGCAGUAGGGAAGCUGGCGCAAGGGGCGAAAGCCGGACGGAGCGACGCAGCGUGAGGGAUGGAGGUCUUGUGAUCGUAAAACUCUGUUAGGAGGUAAGAACAAAUGUCUAAGGACCUAUGGACUUCGUGACGGUACCUGAUCAAAAAGCCACGGCUAACUACGUG